rnacentral:rRNA from 1 species
GAUGAGCGCUGGCGGCGUGCCUAAUACAUGCAAGUCGAGCGAACGGACGAGAAGCUUUCUUCUCUGAUGUUAGCGGCGGACGGGUGAGUAACACGUGGAUAACCUACCUAUAAGACUGGGAUAACUUCGGGAAACCGGAGCUAAUACCGGAUAAUAUUUUGAACCGCAUGGUUCAAAAGUGAAAGACGGUCUUGCUGUCACUUAUAGAUGGAUCCGCGCUGCAUUAGCUAGUUGGUAAGGUAACGGCUUACCAAGGCAACGAUGCAUAGCCGACCUGAGAGGGUGAUCGGCCACACUGGAACUGAGACACGGUCCAGACUCCUACGGGAGGCAGCAGUCGGGAAUCUUCCGCAAUGGGCGAAAGCCUGACGGAGCAACGCCGCGUGAGUGAUGAAGGUCUUCGGAUCGUAAAGCUCUGUUAUUAGGGAAGAACAUAUGUGUAAGUAACUGUGCACAUCUUGACGGUACCUAAUCAGAAAGCCCCGGCUAACUACGUG